GGGCCCGCACAAGCGGUGGAGCAUGUGGUUUAAUUCGAUGCAACGCGAAGAACCUUACCUGGUCUUGACAUACACAGAAUCUUGUAGAGAUACGAGAGUGCCUUCGGGAACUUACAUACAGGUGCUGCAUGGCUGUCGUCAGCUUGUGUCGUGAGAUGUUGGGUUAAGUCCCGCAACGAGCGCAACCCUUUUCCUUAUUUGCCAGCACUUUGGGUGGGAACUUUAAGGAUACUGCCAGUGACAAACUGGAGGAAGGCGGGGACGACGUCAAGUCAUCAUGGCCCUUACGACCAGGGCUACACACGUGCUACAAUGGUUGGUACAAAGGGUUGCUACACAGCGAUGUGCUGCUAAUCUCAAAAAGCCAAUCGUAGUCCGGAUUGGAGUCUGCAACUCGACUCCAUGAAGUCGGAAUCGCUAGUAAUCG
rnacentral:rRNA from 1 species